UUAAGUACGUAACAAAACACAAGAACAAACAUUCACACUCCAAAAGAUUAUCAAAUUUAUAUUAUUUAGAAACUAUCACUAUUUAAGACAUCAUAACAAGUUCAAGUUCAAUGUAUUUCACACUAUUUAACAUAUACAUUACAUUACAUUACAUUACAUUACAUUACAUUACAUUACAUUACAUUACAUUACAUUACAUUACAUUACAUUACAUUAGAUGAGAUAUUCAUUAUAUAAAUUCGGUGUAAAUACAUAAAAAAGUUUUAAAUUAUUAAGGACUGUUUCAAACGUCGCGCUUCUCAUGUGCCGAACCCAUUAAAAACAAUACAGUAGAUAAUCAACUAAAAUGCCUCAUAUCUAUUGUUUCUAAUGUGUUCGCAUGAGAAGCGCGACGUUUCAAACAGGCCUAAGAUAUUCAAACUGUGCCCGGCGGCCAAAGUAUAGCAUAUGCUUUUGAGUUGACCACCGUCUACUUUUAAUAAUUGUAUUUAUUAUAUACACAAGGUGCGGAUAUGAGGUAUUCUGCAAUCUGAUUGGUUCUCUACUAGGAGGAUAUUAGCUUAUAUCCUGCUAGUAGAGAAAAACAAAAUGGCGGCUCAAACUGAAUUUCCGACAUCUUGCGAACGAGAAAACGGCAAGUUGUUCGCUUUUUAUAGCCUUUACAGGAUUAAAAACACAACGAAAACAUUCCCACAAAUU